ensembl:snoRNA Gm24280 small nucleolar RNA SNORA17
CCUGCUGAUAGAGAACCAUUGCCAGUGUGGCGGCUCUGUCACAUAUGCUUCAAGAGGUGGCAGAGAGGAGGGAGGCUCUGUCUAUUCUCAGUGUUCUGACCUAUGAACAUUUGAAUGAUUAGUAGCCUAGCAUU